GAUGAACGCUGGCGGCGUGCCUAAUACAUGCAAGUCGAACGCAUAGCGAAGGAUCUUUGCCCCCUUCCAGUGAGUGGCGACGGGGGAAGUAACCCGUGGACAACCUGCCUCAAGACUGGGGAUACUACGUGGAAACAGAUGUAAAUACCGAAUAAAACUUAAUGCCGCAUGAUCAAAAGUUAAAAGCCGCUUCGGUGUCACCUAGAGAUGGAUCCGCGUUGCAUUAGCUAGUUGGUGGGGUAACGGCCUACCAAGACAAUGAUGCAUAGCCGAGUUGAGAGAGUGAGCGGCCACAUUGGAACUGAGACACGGCCCAGACUCCUACGGGAGGCAGCAUUAGGGAAUCUUCCACAAUGGGCGAAAGCCUGAUGGAGCAACGCCGCGUGAGUGGUGAAGGCUUUCGGGUCGUAAAACACUGUUGUAAGGGAAGAACAACUAGGUAAGGAAAUGAUUAUAGUUUGACGGUACCUAACCAGAAAGCGACGGCUAAAUACGUG
rnacentral:rRNA from 1 species